GGUUGGCUAAUGAUUAGAAGAUUACUUUAUAGAAUGAAUUAAAUUUGGAACUCAAUUGCUUGGUUAAGUUUGAUUGAAACUGCUACAGUUUUUUAAAAUAUGUAUACAUUUACUCAUAUUAUGUAUACAUUUUUCUCUGUAUAUACUUUUAAGCUAACGAUAAAGUGUCAGUUGGUGAACAAAAUAUCUCUUGGAAUGAAUUGAAUUUGGUACUGAAUUGCUAGCUUUGAAUUUGUCCGAAACUUCUGCUGGUUUAUAAAUAUAUGUAUACAUUUACUCAUAUUAUGUAUACAUUUCUAUCUGUGUAUACUUUUAACUUUUAAGCUAACGAUUAAGUCUUGGUUGGUGAACAAAAUCUCUCUAGGAAUGAAUCGAAUUUGGUACUGAAUUGCUCUGUUUUGAAUCCUUACUGAUGUUGCCUGAUAGUUUUUUUUCAAAAAGGAGCUUAUCCACUCAAAGCAACUUCAAAGGCCGAAUAGUUGGGAUCUUAACUUUGGAAAACUCUCGAAAUUGGAAUCAGAUUAGGUCGAUGGAAGUCCCAUUUUCUUUAUAUGGAGGAUAUAUUUUUUCUUGAGGGGAUCCUACUUUUCAUGCUUUCAUCUCACGGGUUGAAGGUUUAUGGUUGUUAGUUACCAUAUCAGCUGCAUAGUAGAAAUUAUCGCGGAAGGGAAGAGUGCGAUCGGUAAGGAUGUUACGGAGAUAAAGAAGGCAUAUGAAAGUAAGCAAAAAGAAAAAAUCCAGAUUCAUUCAUACUGGCAUCUUUUGAUUAUAUUGGGAAAGUUGCAAAUGAAAAAUAUAUGAGGUUUAUUUUUAUGUGUUAUACAUGUGUCAGUGUGUUCGUAUAGAUUACUUGAGAAAUGCUAUGGCCUUCUCGGAUCUCGGAUUAUACUGGGAAAAUUGCAAAUGAAAUAUACAUUAAUUUUCUUUUUA